GAUUGGAUGGUAGAUGUGUACUGAUUGAUAAUUUAGUCUUGGAUGUUUUUUUUUAAUUAGUUGUCAGUGGUUUUGAUCUAGCUUUAAGUAACUGCGAGUACUCUCAGAUCUGCACUUAGUGUCGUUUGGUGGUGGGAUGUACAAGUACCCGGUCACGUCCACUUAUUUGUAGUGUUUGUAUUUUUAUCCAUAUGAUGAGUUAAGCCUUUUUCAGCGGAUUUAUAUAGUUCGUUCUUAUGUUGUACUAUUACACAAAUGUCCCAGGUUAGGGGAGGUUUGGGAUCCCACCAACAUGUUUAACACCGCCACAAUCUCUGUUUAUGUGACUGUCCCCAAGUCAGGAGCCAGUGGUUGGCGUUUGUUUAUGUGUUACAUAUUUGUUUUUUCGUUUAUUUUUUGUAAUAGAUUAGGCUGUUAGUUUUCUCUCGUUCGAAUAGUUUUACAUUGUUAUUUCGGGGCCUUUUAUAGCUGACUAUGCGGUAUGGGCUUUGCUCAUUGUUAAAACCCGUACGCUGACCUAUAGUUGUUAAUUUCUGUGUGUCAUUUUGGUCUCUUGUGGGGAGUUGUCUCAUUGACAAUCAUUCCACAUCUUCUUCUUUUUUAUAUUGAAUCAAUUCGUAAAGGAGCAUGAAGAAUUUGACCAAGAUGAUAUCCUACAUAGUUAUACACUGUAAUACAUUGUGCAAUUUAAAUGUGCUGUUCUCUUGCUUUUUGUGGUUCUUUCUAGUGAAUAUAUUGAAUUUGAGUCAUGAAUGGAUGCUAGAUAUCUAUUUGUAUCUAUUGGUGACCUGUGGAUUUUUCUUCUAUCUUUAUUGUGGGGUGUGAUUGUUGUAUAAUGAACACAUCCUUCACACUGAUAUAGUACAAUAUCAACUGAUCUAUUUCAUUCGAAGAUAAAACAAAUGUUUAUAAAGAUAAGUAUGAUAUACACAUUUUAGUAUGGACUACAUGUGCUUCUAAAAGUAAUCUUCACUAACAAGCUCUUUUAAAUAAAACAACCAAUAGAUCUUAAAUUAGCUGAGUUAGUACCUUAGUUUUAAUACAAUUACAUGAUAUGUAUACUGAAUUCGAUACUAUUCUUUAUAUUAUUUUAUUUAUUUUUUCUGUUUAUUUUGAAUAGAAACAUAGUUUACUUUCAUUCUGGUCCAUAUAUUCUACAUAAAGGUAUGUCUCACACUCUAUUUCUCUCAAUGAUAUGUUGAUAUAUAAUAAAUAUUAUCUGAAUAUAUAGUUGAUUAGUUAAUCUCAUUUUGGACUUAACGAUGAUUCUAACACUAU
rnacentral:lncRNA from 1 species